rnacentral:rRNA from 1 species
AAUCAACGCUGGCGGCGUGCCUAACACAUGCAAGUCGAACGCGAAAGUCCCGCAAGGGAUUAGUAGAGUGGCAAACGGGUGAGUAACACGUGGGCAACCUGCCCUCAGCUCUGGGAUAACUCCAAGAAAUUGGGGCUAAUACCGGAUAUGACUGCUGACCGCAUGGUCUGGUGGUGGAAAGAUUUAUCGGCUGGGGAUGGGCCCGCGGCCUAUCAGCUUGUUGGUGGGGUAGGGCCUACCAAGGCGACGACGGGUAGCCGGCCUGAGAGGGUGACCGGCCACACUGGGACUGAGACACGGCCCAGACUCCUACGGGAGGCAGCAGUGGGGAAUCUUGCGCAAUGGGCGAAAGCCUGACGCAGCGACGCCGCGUGAGGGAUGACGGCCU